rnacentral:rRNA from 1 species
UACGGAGGGUCCGAGCGUUAUCCGGAAUCAUUGGGUUUAAAGGGUCCGCAGGCGGGCCGUUAAGUCAGGGGUGAAAGCCCGCGGCUCAACCGCGGGACUGCCCUUGAUACUGGCGGCCUUGAAUCACGGCGGAGCGGGCGGAAUAUGUAGUGUAGCGGUGAAAUGCAUAGAUAUUACAUAGAACACCGAUCGCGAAGGCAGCUCGCUAGCCGUGUUAUUGACGCUGAGGGACGAAAGCGCGGGGAGCGAA